rnacentral:rRNA from 1 species
CAGUCGCCAUGGUAAUACGAAGGGUGCAAGCGUUAAUCGGAAUUACUGGGCGUAAAGCGUGCGUAGGCGGUUUGUUAAGUCUGUUGUGAAAUCCCCGGGCUCAACCUGGGAAUGGCAAUGGAUACUGGCAAGCUAGAGUGUGUCAGAGGAUGGUGGAAUUCCCGGUGUAGCGGUGAAAUGCGUAGAGAUCGGGAGGAACAUCAGUGGCGAAGGCGGCCAUCUGGGACAACACUGACGCUGAGGCACGAAAGCGUGGGGAGCAAACAGGAUUAGAUACCCGCGUAGUCCCUGUCUCUUAUAC